GCGGUGGAGCAUGUGGUUUAAUUCGACGCAACGCGAAGAACCUUACCAGGACUUGACAUCCAUAGAACCCGUAUGAAAGUACGGGUGCCCUUUUAGGGAGCUAUGAGACAGGUGGUGCAUGGUUGUCGUCAGCUCGUGUCGUGAGAUGUUGGGUUAAGUCCCGUAACGAGCGCAACCCCUGUGUCCUGUUGCCACCCCGGCGUGAGUCGGGAGCACUCUGGACAGACUGCCUCGCUUAAACGAGGAGGAAGGUGGGGAUGACGUCAAGUCAGUAUGGCCCUUACGGCCAGGGCUGCACACGUACUACAAUGCCCGGCACAAAGGGAAGCAAUACCGUAAGGUGGAGCAAAUCCCCAAAAACCGGGCCCAGUUCAGAUUGCCGUCUGCAACUCGACGGCAUGAAGCUGGAAUCGCUAGUAAUGGCGCAUCAGCUACGGCGCCGUGAAUACGUUCCCAGGCCUU
rnacentral:rRNA from 1 species